rnacentral:rRNA from 1 species
AUUGAACGCUGGCGGCAGGCCUAACACAUGCAAGUCGAGCGGUAACAGGUCCAGCUUGCUGGAUGCUGACGAGCGGCGGACGGGUGAGUAAUGCAUAGGAAUCUGCCCGAUAGUGGGGGAUAACCUGGGGAAACCCAGGCUAAUACCGCAUACGUCCUACGGGAGAAAGGGGGCUCCGGCUCCCGCUAUGGGAUGAGCCUAUGUCGGAUUAGCUAGUUGGUGAGGUAACGGCUCACCAAGGCCACGAUCCGUAGCUGGUCUGAGAGGAUGAUCAGCCACAUCGGGACUGAGACACGGCCCGAACUCCUACGGGAGGCAGCAGUGGGGAAUAUUGGACAAUGGGGGAAACCCUGAUCCAGCCAUGCCGCGUGUGUGAAGAAGGCCCUCGGGUUGUAAAGCACUUUCAGCGAGGAAGAACGCCUAACGGUUAAUACCCGUUAGGAAAGACAUCACUCGCAGAAGAAGCAACCGCUAAC